rnacentral:rRNA from 1 species
CCUACGGGAGGCAGCAGUCGAGAAUCAUUCACAAUGGGGGAAACCCUGAUGGUGCGACGCCGCGUGGGGGAAUGAAGUUCUUCGGAUUGUAAACCCCUGUCAUGUGGGAGCAAAUUAAAAAGAUAGUACCACAAGAGGAAGAGACGGCUAACUCUGUGCCAGCAGCCGCGGUAAUACAGAGGUCUCAAGCGUUGUUCGGAAUCACUGGGCGUAAAGCGUGCGUAGGCUGUUUCGUAAGUCGUGUGUGAAAGGCGCGGGCUCAACCCGCGGACGGCACAUGAUACUGCGAGACUAGAGUAAGGGAGGGGGAACCGGAAUGCUCGGUGUAGCAGUGAAAUGCGUAGAUAUCGAGAGGAACACUCGUGGCGAAGGCGGGUUCCUGGACAUUAACUGACGCUGAGGCACGAAGGCCAGGGGAGCGAAAGGGAUUAGAUACCCGAGUAGUC